UACGUAGGGGGGCGAGCGUUGUCCGGAUUUAUUGGGCGUAAAGAGCUCGUAGGCGGCUUGGCAAGUCGGGUGUGAAACCUCCAGGCUCAACCUGGAGACGCCACUCGAUACUGCUAUGGCUAGAGUCCGGUAGGGGACCACGGAAUUCCUGGUGUAGCGGUGAAAUGCGCAGAUAUCAGGAGGAACACCGGUGGCGAAGGCGGUGGUCUGGGGCCCGGCACUGACGCUGAGGGAGCGAAAAGCGUGGGGUAGCAAAAC
rnacentral:rRNA from 1 species